UAAAAGUUGUGGUAUUUUUUAUUAUUAUUUCAAACAGAAACAGUUUGAUUACAUUACUUAAGAACAGUGCACUUUGGAGUUUACUGAGUUACAUUACAGCUUAUGAAAAUCAAAAAAUGAAGAGCUAUUUCAUAUUGCAUACAACUUAAGAACAUAGACCCAAACUAAUACAGUUGCAUGUACAAGUGCAAACAAGUGCCUGUUUGUAUUUGUUUACAAUGCAUGGCAAAAAAAAAAAAAAUCCAUGACAAAAAAAACAAACAGCAGGGUUGUUAGUCAUCCUACUCAACCAUUUCAAACACUUACAGAUACCAUACCUGCGGAUGCAGUUCCUAUAACUUGGCGAUAACGAAACACUUACGGAAAUCAACAUUCCAUCUAGUAUUUACACACCAUCAAUACAAUUUUCAUCCCAUCAAUUAGAAUUUUUAAUAUCCCGGUUGACAUUAAUGGAGAUUAAUGGUCUCUUUCCAUGGUGAAUUCCAAUGUCAUCUAUUAUCAUUCCAGCCUUGGUCCCAGUCCGCUCUAAUUACAUCCUCAAAAUUCACUCUCCUUCGCAACCCCCAGCGUCCUAAGUACAAUCAAUAAUUUUAAUUUUCGGAAGCCACCCAAACCUCCGCUGGUUUCUACAUUAGUCCUACUCUUUUGCUCCUUUCCUCUUUCUCCGUUGAUCAGUUCCCAAAUGAAACCAAAUGCAGCAGAAUAAAGCCUGAUGGAGGGAGAAUUAAUUGUCCAUCUCGUCAACAGCUCCAGUUGAUUCCUUCGUUUGUUUGUCCGUUUGUCGACUCGCUCGUUUCCCUCGUUUCUCUCUCGUGUCUGCUGUGUCGUUCCUCUCUCGUCCUCUCUCUGUCUGGCGCUUGGGGGGCGCUUUCCUCUCUUUUCCCCCUUCUUGCAAUGUAAUUAGCAUGCAGAUAUGCAUCGCCUUAUUCGCAAGUCAAAUCGCCUUGGCAUUUUUUUCCCCCCUCUCUGGAUCUCUGAUCCAGUCGAGAGCUGUGAUUGUUCUUAUUCAGCUUGUUUGAUCUGGUAGGCAAGCGCCCAUAUCCUCUCUCAGCCUAGUCAAACCCAAACCCAUACAAAUAGAAAAACAGAAAAAUUCAAUAUUUCUCUUCCUAUCUGCUUAUGUCAGCGGUUUGCACAGCUUUCCCUGACUGACUGCUUUUCGUCUUCAGAUGCAAAAUACAUGAAACAUGAAAAUUUAAAUACACUUAUAAUCUGUCCUUUUCGAAACACCUGCAUGCUCUACAACAUUUCCGAGCCUCUAUUUCUGAGGCUCCUUUUUAUUCUGCCACCACAGCUGACUUCACAUAAUGCAUGUUUGCCUUUGGAUGCCUCUUACGUUGUUGGAUGGGAUAUAUUCACAUGGAGAAGAAAUGCAAACCAAAGUGUGUUUUGUUACCCUCAAUUCCUCUCUCAAAUACACUGAGCAGGUCUGCUGGUGCAGGAAGGUGAUUGCUCAGCACAUUUCAAUAUGAACACCGUCUUCCUUUAUCUAGUUGCCAUUUGUUUCCCUGUCAUAAAGUAUCCCCAGCCAGCAUUUUCUUUUUUUCAGUGCCAGUGAAAGGAAAAUGGCUCAAACUGAAAUGCAGUUGUCAGAAACAGAAACUGAGUUAUCAAAUCUAUAUUUAAAGACACUUAAAGAAGGAGAGGAGAAGUUUGUUAAAUGUGUGACCACAACUUUAUCUUUCAGCCUUGUUUUUACGCAGGCUUUCAUGGAUACAAGAAUGUCAAAGAGUGCAUAUAGAUACUUUUAAACAUUAUUUCCUGAGCACUUCCCAAUGGAAACAGUGAAACAGUAAUUGUGAUUUAUUUAUUUUUUUUAAAUAACGGUCAUUCCAGGGAUGUAAUUACAGUACAUGAAUGUAAACAUCAAAGUGCCAGAGCAGAUUAUAGAGGAGUGUUUCUUUGCAUAGUCAUGGUAUUGUUGGCACUUGACCAGUCUUUCAGUGUGUACCCUCACCCCACCCCAACCACUACUUUUUCUAUCUUUUCUCCCACUCCUCAAAGCUAAUCUGCGCUAUAUUUGCCAUCAAUGCAUGCCUGCCAUUCACAUGGCAUAUCAGAAGCAGGCGCCAGGCACCCUUUACCCCUCUCUCUGCUCCUCCUCCUCUCAGUAAGCGUCAGAUUUUGCGCCUACUUGCCACAGAGUUCUCUGAAGGGUCCAGGUGGCAUGAUGCCCAUGCUCCUUUUGCAAUCAGGGCAUAAGACAAAGAAACCCAGCAAAUGCAACAAAAAACAUUUAAAAAAUAAAAAAAAUCAUCAAAAAUCAAGAUGCAUGUCUCAGAUCCAGCUUGGAGAUUCCGGUGUGUUCCAUAUCCACCGGCUAGGUGUUGUUGUUCCAUCUCUCUCCUUCUUCUGGAUAGUUUUGAGAUCAAAGGCUAAGGUGUAAACCCUCCUCCAACCUUGAAACUUCCUCAGCUUGUGGGCUAAUCACAGAACGCCGUUAUGUGUCUUAAGCCCAUACAGUCUCACACGCGCACACACACGCCAACAGAAAUGCACAUGAAUGCUGCAGAGUUUUAUUUCUCCCAGAGCUCCCUGCCAUCUCGUCUGCCCGCUGCCUCGGAGGAACUGGGAAUACAAUGGGAUCUAGCAGGGUAUUCCUCACACUUACAUACGCUGGAUUUAAUUUGCACGUGCACUCUGCAGUUGUUUGAGGCUUGAGGAAAGUGAAUAAUCAAUUGAGUAUUGAUUUCUUGUACAAUUUUGUAAAUUUCAAAGGCAAAGACAAAGAGGGGUAGCUUAAGGAGAGUCGCUACGAGCAAGAGGAGCCGCAAAUUAGCCAGUAAACACAGACAGCGGAAUAAACGAAGGCAAAUGAAUGAAUGAACGAAUCGCUCGUCACUGAGAUAUGCCUCUGUCUUUUUCUCAUUUUCUUCAUUGUUUUUAUUCCCUCCUUCAGAGGAAGUAACAUGUGGAACAAUGGCUUUCUAUGGAGACGAAGAGAUGGCGAAUGGGCAAAUAAGGGUUAAAAGGAAAAGCUGCAGGAGGAGAUAUAGUGACAGGAGGACAUGGUAAUUAGGGAGUCUGCUACACACACCUCAUCAUUAUGGGGAGUAUGCAAAUUAACCGGCUGCCUCUUUCUCUUUGUCAUGGAUCAGAAGGCAAGAGAUGCAGGGAAGAAUUAAGAGCUAUUAUUCUACCAAAGGAGCGGCGGGCAUAUGUAGACGAGACCGAAGAGGAAGAGAGGGAGGAAGACUUUUUAGCCACUGAGAUAUGCAUUGGAGUUCACCACGAUGGAUAAUGAAAUAAAAUAUCAAAACUAGACUAUCCCCGAUACCGUAGGAGACGCGAACAGGAAACGACGAACGAGAAAACGGCAAUCAGACAUGCACCUUGAUUCCCCAUUAUGCCCAUCUUCGUAUAUUGACGGGAUGCUCCCUGGAUGAUAAUUACCUUUUGGAAUAUUGAAUUGCUAAAUGAGCCUAGGAACGAAGGAACAAGAAAGAACAAAAACAAGAGAGGAGCGGAGGUAUGCAAAAGGCGCUAAUGAUAUUCAGAGCGCUGUGUGUCAUCUGCAUGAUGACAACGGCCAAUUAUAAAGAACGAUUUGCUCUCUGGCACAGAUAAGUAGCAGAAAAAGGGAAUAUGGUUGAAGAGGAGGGGUAAGCGAAUGAACUUCCUUGUCGCUUUCUGCUUAAGUUCCCAUUAAUAUCUGCUUAUUUUGCUCAUUGUGGAUUUACAGUAGAAGUAUGAACAAUGGCAGAAAUUACGCAAGUUGGAAAAAAAACAAAUAACAACAAAAAAAAAAACGGACGACCUUUUCUUGCAUUGGUCCUUAAGAGAAAUAAAGGCCAUCAAAGAUGAGAGUAUCCAUCCAGGGAAGAUGUAUGGCUUCUUGGAGUGGUAUUCCAUUGCCACGUCGCUCAGCUUGGCUUUUGUUCUGAUGAUGCCCGCUCCUGCACCAACCAUCGCCCUGAUUAGCAAAAGAUCACGUUGGAAAACAAGGAAACGCAAACGCGGUGCCAUCUUCCACAAAGCCGCCUUCUCCCUUUCCUCAUCACACUACAGAAUGCCUCCCCAUAACCGUUUUGCAUAUUCGCAUGCCGCCCCGCCUGCCACAAAGGACUAAACAGUGUUAUGCAAAACAGUCUGGUAUCCUCACUUACAUAGCGAUGAGAUGCACAGUGUGAGAAAGUGGGGAGAGGGAGUGGAGGGGGCAGGUUUGAAGGAGGUAAAACACGACGGGGGGGCCUCGACGACAAGAAGACACUGUGAGGUGGGGGGAUUGGGCCACAGGGGAGCUUGUUGGCACUAAAAAGGGGCACGUGUGCUGAUACCACUCCUACUGCGUGAUGACAGAAAGAGGCAGGCGUGGGAAAAACAGAGGAAGGGAUGGGAGGGGGGAAAAGAGGAGGAUAAGGGCAUGUUGGCACUAAGAGGGGGCACGUGUUGCUGGAGGAGGAGGAGCGACAUGGGUGGGCGAGGUGCAGUGGGAGGCGUGAGGAAAUGAGAGGUUAGAUGGGGACACAGCAGGGGUUGGGCACUAAACAUGGACUGAGAUGAGGAGUUUGCCGAUUUAGGGGCACCAGCAUUAAAGAAGAAUUUUUGUACCAUUAAAAUUCAAGGCACACGCAUCUCUUAUCAGAUACCAGCAAGACAUGCCAGGGUGGUUUGGCUACCACACCUGCAUUAAAUCAUGGUAACUUUAACACAAAAUCCACAGCGCUACAUGGGUCUAAUCUCUGUCUGUGCAGCCAUUUUUGCAUACUGUUUAGUAUACACAAUAAUGAAAAAGUUCUUUAUUGAAACCUGUAGCAUGAACCAGAUGAUGUGCAGCAAACAUUUACACACUGUUGCUAAGGAAAAGCCCCACCUUUAUAUCUGUAUCACUUUAAAGAAAUUGCUUAUCAAAAUCUAGAUGCUUUUCUUUUUCUUUUUCAUGAAUAGUUAGUGUUUUUAAAAUGUAUUUACUUAAAAGCUGAAUUUUGUGUUAUUAAAGGUUAAUUCUAUAAAACAUGCAUACAUCUUGCAUAAAUCUUCUUAUGUUCUUGUCAUUGUAUUAUUGUUUACUGUUCAACUGUAAAACUAAAAUAUUAAAAUGAAACAUGGUCUUCAUAUGGAAGUAUAAUUUAAUGUAAGCACACAGCUUUGCUCUAUUAAAGUUUGAUGUGGACAUAUCAAUUGUUCUCUUUUUGCCAUAUAGAACAAUUGAUACUUUGUUCUUUAGGCCAGGGUGUAAACUCUAGCACUCAAGAGCAUGACUGUUGCAUUUAGCUCUUACAUGUGUUCAUGGUUCAACACCAAUCGACUCAAAUGGCUGCAUUGCAUCCUCGCCAUGCUAUCCAGUUUUACAGAGUUCUGACAAUUACCUAAUUGAUUCAAGUUUGUUGAUGCAAAGGCAUAUUUUUAAGUUGCAGGACAGCAGACAUUAAGGGCUGUAGUUGGACUUGUGCUCUACACUAUGUCAAAUUAGUUGAGAAUAUAUGUAAAACCAUAAAUGCGGAGGAGGGACCAUUUUCUUCAAGUCAGCAGUCUCAUUUUGAAGUGAUCUGAUCUGCAUCAAAUAGUAUUUUUUUUGUCUUUGUCUAGUUUCAGAUUAUUCAUUUAAUUUUUCUCUGAAAAGCACAGGGCCUUUCAUGAAGCUUUUGACAAUGAAUCCAGCUCAAAAGAAUGAAAUAAAAACCAAAUAAUUUUCCAUGUUUUCCAAAAAAUGUUUUAAUACUAUGUUAUUAGUUUAGAAUAUUAUUCAUCCAUGUACUGCAUCUGUUAUAGUUGUGCAAUUCUAUGGUAGUUAAAACUGAAAAAAAAAAAAAAACCUGGGUUAGAAAACUGACAAGACAUUUGAAAGUACUCCUUUUCUGUUCUCACACAAACAACAUUCAAGUUUUGCCCCCCUCAAAUUCAAAUGAGCUUUUUUUGGUGUAUAAUCAGCCGUUCCACUCUUUACCACUCUAAAUAUUGAAUAUUUUGAACUAAAGAUUCAAUAUUCAAUAGCAAAAUGCAGUCAAGAAUAAAAAUAAAGAAUCUGUAAAAUAACCCUUUAAUUUUGCCUCAACCUUUAGCAUUGCUAGGUUUGCAGGUUCCAGCGUUCUAACAGGACUUGUAAAUCAUUCGUAGCUUUGUUGUCACUCUGACACUCAAGCCACAAGUAGGUUGACUUGUCUAGAGUAGACGGUCUCAGUAUUGUCUAGGCUCAGGUUGGGCUGAAUCUUGACCUUGGUGACAACAGUGCAAAAUGGGUUUGACUUCAGUGAGGAGUUCAAGUUCGUUGUCUUAAGAAUCAUCCAGUGGCAAAACUAAUUUGAUUAAUUUCACAUUCUGUUCUAAUUCACGAGCAAUAGUAGUUUCACAUGUCCUACUUCAGAUGCAAGCCUAUAGCUUUUAGCCUUGCUAAGUGAAUCAUCUGUGGCGCUAUCGAAUUACCCUCAACAGAGACCAAAGGUUACUCAAAGGCCUUUUAGUCAUCCACGCCAGUAUGCUAGCUAAUUUACAGCAGACUCAUUAGACCAGCAUUAAACACAAUUUCCUGUCGACAAAUUUCAUUUGCCAGAAAAAUCAUUACCAUGGCAAUAAUAAACAAGCUUCUAUAGUAGUGGCUAAUGGCAAUUUGAGUAACCUAAUGUGGUUAGAAACCACUCGAAAUAGCAACGGUGACUUGAAAGACUCUGAUCAAAGUUAAGUUUAAGAUAGAUGUUGACAAGAUGUGUAUUACUUUAACUUUGGAGUUUUUAUUUCUUUCUCCUUUCUUUAUGUUUUGCUUCUUAAGCUUUGUCUUGGGCCUGGACACUGACAGUGGAAAUAUAAUGUUUCAUAACUGUCAGUGCACAGGGUUGUGUGUAGCCUGGGGUUACUGUGCUGAACAAUAAACCAUAAUUUGAUAGAUGAGAAAUUACAGCGGUCCAUCUACUGUGCAGGGCCUUCACCCCGGGCAACGCAAUACAGCUUUAGAUGAUGUGUCACACUUCUCCGACAAAAGGAGAAAAAUGAAAUUAUGCUCUUAUACUUUGUUAACAAUGUCUUCCAUUGUUUUGAAUGUAACGACCUUGUUUGUUUUAUGUAAAUAUUCUAAUAUAAAUGGGAGGCCUCUCA